rnacentral:rRNA from 1 species
AGGGUAUUGGCCUACCGUGGCUAUGACGGGUAACGGGGAAUUAGGGUUCGAUUCCGGAGAGGGAGCCUGAGAAACGGCUACCACAUCUAAGGAAGGCAGCAGGCGCGCAAAUUACCCAAUCCUAAUACAGGGAGGUAGUGACAAGAAAUAACAAUACAGAACCUUACGGUUUUGUAAUUGGAAUGAGUUAAGUAUAAACCCCUUAACAAGUAUCAAUUGGAGGGCAAGUCUGGUGCCAGCAGCCGCGGUAAUUCCAGCUCCAAUAGCGUAUAUUAAAGUUGUUGCAGUUAAAAAGCUCGUAGUUAAUCUUCUGUUAAUUUUUAUAUAUAAUAUCACGAUAUUUAUAUAAUAUUAACAUAAUUCAUAUUACUUUUUAGUAUAUGAAACUUUACUUUGAGAAAAUUAGAGUGCUUAAAGCAGGCUAUUGCCUUGAAUACUCCAGCAUGGAAUAAUAUUAAGGAUUUUUAUUCUUCUUAUUGGUUCUAGAAUAAAAAUGAUGAUUAAUAGGGACAGUUGGGGGCAUUUGUAUUUAACAG